rnacentral:lncRNA from 1 species
UAGUUUUAUAAGCAAAGAAAUUUGUAUUAAAUCUCUCUGCUGUCAUUGUUUCUUUGUUUCUCAUUUAAAUAGGCAAAUCAGGCAGCGGCUAGGAAGCCAAAAGUAGAUGGACAAGUAUCAGAGACACCACUGCUUGGUUCCUCUUUGGUCCAGAAUUCCAUUUUAGUAGAUAGUGUCACUGGUGUACCUUCCAACCCAAGUUUUCAGAAACCAUCAACAUCAACGUUUCCUGCUCCAGUACCUCUAAAUUCAGGAAAUAUUUCUGUUCAGGACAGCCAUGCAUCUGAUAACUUGCCAGUGCUAGCAACAGGAAUGCCCAGUACCUCAUACAGUCUGUCAUCACACCAAGAAUGGCCUCAGCAUCCAGAGUCAUCCAGGACAGAGCCAGUGUAUGCACAGAAGCAGGAGGCCACUCUAUCUGGGAGCCAGUAUAUCAGCUUCCAGCAGGGACCUUCAAUGGCACUACAUUCAGGAUUACAUCACAGGCCUGACAAGGUUGCUGAUCAUUCCUCAGCUAAGCCAGAGUAUACUCACAAAGUUGGGAGCAGUAAGCACCAUGGGCCUGUUUCUGCUACUCCUGGAGUGGUUCCCCAGAAAAUGUCUUUAGAUAAAUACAGAGAAAAGCGGAAGCUGGAAACCCUUGACCUGGAUGUAAGGGAUCAUUAUAUAGCUGCCCAGGCAGAGCAGCAGCACAAACAUGGGCCGGGCCAGGCAGCUGCUGGCAGCUCUGUCACUUCCCCCAUUAAAAUGAAACUCCCCAUAACAAACGCUGACAAACCAGAGAAACACCUGGCAGAGAAAAAGGAGAAGAGUGGAUCGUUGAAGUUACGGAUUCCCAUCCCACCCACUGAUAAAGGCCCUAGUAAAGAGGAGCUAAAGAUGAAGAUCAAAGUAUCCUCCUCAGAAAGACACAGCUCUUCUGAUGAAGGCAGUGGGAAGAGCAAGCACUCAAGUCCUCACAUCAGCAGAGACCACAAGGAGAAGCACAAGGAACAUCCUGCCAACCGCCACCAUGGCAGCCACAAGCAUUCCCAUGUGCAUAGUGGGGGUGGGAAGCACUCUGCCGAAGGGAUGCCACCUACUGUGCUGAGGAGUCCCAUAGGCCUGGGUACCGACAGCAUCUCCAGUUCCAGUUCAAGGAAGAGGCUGCAUAUCAACGAUGCCUCCCACAACCACCACUCCAAAAUGAGCAAAAGUUCCAAAAGUUCAGGUGGGCUACGGACAUCUCAGCACCCUCGUGAAACUGGACAAGAAACCAGUGGAGCCCCACGGUCCUGA